rnacentral:rRNA from 1 species
UCGUGGAGUGAUUUGUCUGGUUAAUUCCGUUAACGGACGAGACCUUAACCUGCUAACUAGUGCCCGUCCGCACUCUCAUGGCGGCACGGGCGACUUCUUAGAGGGACUCUGCGGUUUCUAAACGCAUGGAAGUUUGAGGCAAUAACA